rnacentral:rRNA from 1 species
UCCGUAGGUGGUGUGGCAAGUCGGUAGUGAAAUCUCUCGGGCUUAACUGAGAGGCUGCUGCCGAAACUGCCAUGCUCGAGUGCGAGAGAGGCGAGUGGAAUUGCGGGUGUAGCGGUGAAAUGCGUAGAUAUCCGCAGGAACAUCCGAGGCGAAAGCGGCUCGCUGGAUCGCAACUGACGCUGAGGGACGAAAGCUAGGGGAGCAAACAGGAUUAGAUACCCUGGUAGUCCUAGCCCUAAACCAUCAGGACUUGGGGUUUGCCCUGUACGGGGCAAGUCCCGGAGCUAACGCGUUAAGUCCUGCGCCUGGGGAGUACGGUCGCAAGGCUGAA